rnacentral:rRNA from 1 species
GACGAACGCUGGCGGCGUGCUUAACACAUGCAAGUCGAACGGUGAAGCGCCUUCCUUUUUGGUGUGUGUGUAUGAGUGGCGAACGGGUGAAUAACACGUGAGUAACCUUCCCCCUUCUUCUUGAUAACCGCAUGAAAGUGUGGCUAAUACGGGAUAUUCUGGGUCUGUCGCAUGAUUGGUCUGGGACAGAUUUUGUUUCGGUUGUGGAUGGGCUCGCGCCCUAUCAGCUUGUUGGUGGGGUGAUGGCCUACCAAGGCGGUGAGGAGUAGCCGGCCUGAGAGGGUGGACGGUCACAGAGGGACGAAGACACGGAGCAGACUCCGAGAGGAGGCAGCAGGGGAGAAUAUGGCACAAGGGGCGGAAGGAUGAAGCAGCGACGCGGCGGGGGGGAUGGAGGCCGUCGGGUUGUGAACCGCUUUCGGGGGUGAAGCAGGCCGGCCUCGUUUGUGGGUGGGUUGACGGUAGCUGGACAAGAAGCGACGGCUAACUACGUG